rnacentral:ribozyme from 1 species
UUUUUUUUUUUUUUUUUUUUUUUUUUUUUAGAAAAAAAGAAAAAAAAGAA